rnacentral:rRNA from 1 species
UGGGCAACCUGCCCUCAGCUCUGGGAUAACUCCAAGAAAUUGGGGCUAAUACCGGAUAUGACCGCUGACCGCAUGGUCUGGUGGUGGAAAGAUUUAUCGGCUGGGGAUGGGCCCGCGGCCUAUCAGCUUGUUGGUGGGGUAGUGGCCUACCAAGGCGACGACGGGUAGCCCGCUGAGAGGGUGACCGGCCACACUGGGACUGAGACACGGCCCAGACCUCCGUACGGGAG